GGUUUUACUCUGUUGCCCAGGCUGGGGUGCAGGGGCAUGAACAUGGCUCACUGCACCCUUGACCUUCUGGGCUCAAGCGAUCCUCUUGCCUCAGGCUUCUGUUUAGCUGGGGCCACAGGCGGGCACCAAAAUGCCUGGCUAAUUUUUUUGUUUUUAUUUUGGUAGAGACGAGGUCUCACUUUGUUGCCCAUGCUGUUCUCAAACUUCUCGGCUCAAGUGAUCCUCCCACCUCGGCCUCCCAAAGUGCUGUGUUACAGGCAUAAGCCACUGCACCUGGUCUCUACUUCGUUCUUACUCUUCUUCCCGACUCUGUGAUCAGCUCUUUUUCCUCACUGACAUCUCUUAUCACCAGCAGAGGCCUACCACUAGACACCAGUGGUUCUACUUCCCUGGUUGAGCCCUGGUAGAUACGGUUCCUGAGAACUUCAUGGAGCAGUUUCUGCACCAAACCUGCCCUCUCUACCUCUGGACCUCUACGUGGAAAAGAGAAGUCCGUAUUGGAAGCCUUGACUCUGGCCCAGACAUUUCUGCUGUACCUCAUGUAGGGUGAGCCCAGGACCUGCCACACUGUGCCAGCCUCGCCCAAGCCACCCCCCAGCCAGGACGCGGUCUUUCCUGACUCAGCAGGCUGAGGCACCUGAGGCUUUCAUUUUAAUUAUGAACCACUUCAAAGCCUUUCUGGAAGCAGUCUCUGCAAUAACCAACCUGGGUUCUCUCCUAAUGUGGGGAUUGUCCUGGAGCCCAGGCCUUCCAAGGCUCCUCCGCCCGCCAACAUCACCUACCUCAUCUUCCUCUUCAGCACAUCCCCAACAUUGUCUAAGCGGUAACUCACCUGAGCAAAGCACUUGACACGGAUUCAUUCAUUUACUCCUCACAACAACCUGAUGAGAGCACUGAUUAACUUCAAAGGGGAAAAACAAUAACCUUUACAAUGGAUAGAUCUGGCAGGAACCAUGUUAACCAAGUGAUCAAAGGUAGCAUCACCAAUAAUGGGGCAAACCGACAUCCUGUGCUUCCCCAUUGAUGCGCCGAGAAGGACACAGCAUUGCUCAUGCAGCAUCCUUGUCAAAAAUGCGUAAACGGAAUCUAAUCAUGAGAAAACUGCCAGACAGCCAAACUCUUCAGAAAUGUCAAUAUAAUGAAAGGCAACAAAGAUUGAGAAUAACUUUACCAGGUUAAAGAAAACUAAAAAGAUAUGACAACUGACUGCAACGCAGAAUCCUGGACCAGACCCUGGAUCUGGUCAAAAGAAAAAUGCUUUAAACGACAGUAUUGGGACAAAGGGUAAAAUUUGAAUGUGGAUCAUGUAAUAGAUGAAUAAUAUAUUGUAUCAAUGAUA